UGUGUGUGUGUGUGUGUGUGUGGUGUGUGUGUGUGUGUGUGUGUACACCACACCCCCUGCGAGAACUGAAUAUCUGACCUCAAAUCAAGAGUCACCACACAGGUCAUCUUUUGACAAGGACACAACACAAUACUGACCACUCCAAAAUAUUCCAUUUCUUUAUUCUUGAUGGACUUAACUCUCCUCUCCACUUCCACUCUCCUCAAUUACUAUUAGUCUUAUC